CCAUGCGUGCGUCCAUUCCGCUGUCUGCUGGAGGCCCCAGCAUAGGCACACAGAAAGGAAAGUCGGGGGCAGAAACAGGAGGGAAGUGGCCAUCCUUCCCAGGCAGGGUUGGUCCCAGGACUUCCAGGACCUCAGGCAGCACCUGCUCUGUCUGACGAGGCGAGCUGCCUGUGACACAUUUCCUAAAUUGUGUGUUUGUUGUUUUUUAUGAAUAAAAAUAAGACAUGUUCACAGGAAAAAAACAAAACAAAACAAAACACGAAGCACAGCAGAUAAUACAAUGAAGAUGCAGGGUGAGCCUGCUCCUCCCUCCGGGGCGCCCACAGGUUUGGUGCCCAGAGGCUCCUCUGGGCUUUUCUGGUGCAUGCUUACACAGUUAACGAUGAAAUGACACAGAUCUGUUUGUUUAUUUAUUAUUAUUAUUUUUUGAGACGGAGUCUCACUCUGUCAUCCAGGCUGGAGUGCAAUGGCACCAUACCAGCUCACUGCAACCUCCGACUCCCUGGUUCAAGCAGUUCUCCUGCCUCAGCCUCCCUAGUAGCUGGGAUUACAGGCAUGUGCCACCAUGCCUGGCUAACUUUUGUAUUUUUAGUAGAGACGGGGUUUCGCCAUGUUGGCCAGGCUGGUCUUGAACUCCUGACCUCAAGUGAUCCACCUCCCUGGGGGACUGACCCUGGGAUGUGGCCCAUGCACACCUCCUCCUGUGUCCUCUCCCUGAGUGGGCACCCCCAUCUCCCGGGGGAACGUGAAAUCCGGGCGCCGGGAGCCCUUUGCACCUGGGAGGGCAGGUUCAGUGCUCCUGGGAGAAGCCGAGCAAGUACUGUUGUCUGGGCAGGGAGGCGCAGCGUCGCUGGGAAAAGUGGAUUAAUUUAGAUUAAUUGAAUUCAACUCAGCCAGGGAUGGCAGAGGCCGAGAGGGACCGGGCAUCUUCCCCACCUCCCAUGUCCCCGCCCCAUCAGUCCCCCCUGCCCUCCCUGACCCCCUGACUGCCUCCACUGGCCCCCCACAACUCCGUCAGCUCCCACCCCUCCCUGCUGGCCCCCCACAAUCCCGCCAGCCCCCACCCCUCCCCACUAGUCCUGUCUUCCUGUUGGGCUCCCGUUGACUCCAGGGCCUGAAGCAUUUCCAGAAACAACCAUAACUGGGAAGGCCGUGACCCCUCUAGGACGGCUGUGUGGGCAGCCUCAGGCUGUAGGUCAGGGACCUGCGACUCCAGGCAGGGGGUGCCAGACCCAACUGUGGUGGGAGAGCUGCGAGCCACCCAGCCUCAGGGCACGUGCCCAGACUAGGACCCAGGGCAGUGGCUCUCCUCCCCAGCCCUGCCCUGGAGACACUGACUCACCCGAAGCCUCAAGGCCUCAGGCCCCAGACCUGCCUCCAACUCCCAGGCCAGACAAGACCCCGUUUCCGAGGGGAGCGCCCCUCGGCUGGAAGAGGAGGCUGGGGGGCAACACUCCAAUCACAGAUGGUGUUUCUGUUAAGCUGACUCAGGUGGAAUGGCCGGGGAGGGGCAGCUCGGCCAGGGGGCCUCACACGGCGGCUGCGUUCCCCAAAAGUCAGAGGCCAUUCCCCAUGCAGGGGAUGCCCCAGGACAAGUGUCCCGUCCUGGAUAAACGCUCUCACACGUGAUGCCGGCGUGAAGGCUCUGGAGACGAGGCCCUCCCGAGCCUGGACACCCGGGGAACGGCGGGUGACUCCUUCACUCUCAUCUGAAACCAUCUUGUGGGGGCCCUGCCCUGGGCUCCCCAACCAGAGAGACCAUUUUCUCCUCACACACUCGUGCCUGCCCGUGUGCCCCCCCACCCCCCCCCGGUGAGGCCCUGGGGUGGACUUCUGCUGCCGGGAGAAACAGCCACCUCUGCCGUCCCCCAUGACUGGCAGCUUCCUCCCCUCUUUCGGGUCUUCCCAGCGACCCACACUGCGUCCUGGCGGCACCCCCGGCUCCCCCACAGCUCCUGGGCAGAGGGCACCUUCACUGGCACCGCACGGUGACCCAGCACAGGCUGGCGGCCUCCGAUCACACCUGUGACCCUCGUAUUGCCACUGUCCCUGCUGGCGCUGCUGCGAGCACUGCUCUUGUCUGAGCUCUGUCCGCCACUGGAACUCACCCAAGACCCGGGAUAAAUGGGCAAAGAAGCAACGCCCUGAGAGCUCAGAGCACCCUCGCAGGGUGGGGCUCAGACAGUCCUGAGCUGGAGCCGUCCCACGCUCGGCUUCUGUCACGCAGACACGGCUGCCGAGGCCACUGGGCACCCAGUGCCGGGGCCUCUGUGAAGACCUGGACGGGAAGGGGCCCCGAGGACCUGUGGAGGCGUCCAUCACUGGGAGGCGCCAUUGUCGGGAGGUGCCCAUCAGCAGGGGGCGCCCAUUGUGGGGAGGCACUGGCUGUGGCACCACACGACCCGUCGCCCGCCCGGGGGCCCUCACCCCCCUGGAAGCCCCCACACAGCGCCGUGGCCCAGCCUGGAGUGGCGCCAGGAGCGAGCCUCUCCGGAAGCCCCCCCUUGGCCGGUGCCGGUCCCAUCUCAUCCUCGGAUCACAGCCAAGGCGCCGGAGCAGGCUCCUGACACAAAUCUCCAAGGGCUCAGCACUCAAUUAGCGCGUGCGCCACGUGGCCAG
rnacentral:lncRNA from 1 species